rnacentral:lncRNA from 1 species
CCCUAAGCCAGUGACUGGUGUACUGACAAGAAGAGGAAAUUUGGACACAGGCACAUACAGAGAGAAAAUCUUGUGGAAGCUCAGAGAGACGACGGCCACCUACAAGCUGAGGAGAGAGGCCUCUGGAGAAACCAACCUUGUCCACACCUUGAUCUCAGACUUCCAGCUUCCAGACUGUCAGACAAUCACUCUGCUGUCUGGAAGCAGGAAAACAAGAUGGCACAUUCCUAGCAAGGGCCCAGUGUCCCUUCAGUUGACCCUGGUGGAGACCAACCACACCACCUUUGAGGACCCCUCUCCUGGAACAGUGGCUAAAUCGGAACCAUCCCAAAUCAAGGCAGGGCGGCUGUGGAAUGCUCAUUUGAGGAAGAUUCGUCCUGAGCUAACAUCCAUUGCCAAUGUUCCUCUUUUUGUAUGUGAGCCGCUGCCACAGCAUGGCCACUGAUAGAAGAGUGGUGUGGGUCCACGCCUGGGAACCAAACCUGGGCUGCUGAAGUGGAGCAUGCCAAACUUAACCACCAGGCCACUGGCCAGCCCUAGAUCUUUAUUUUAGAAAGAAAAUUGAGAAAAGGUGGAGAGAAUGGGUUGGUGGGGGAGGGGUGACACUGAGCUAGAGACCAGGAUGGAGGUAAUUAUGAUCAUCUGGGUGGGCAGCGAUGAAGAUGAAGGGGACAGAUGGGAAAGAUGGCCAUGAACCUGAGUCUGCAGGGCUUAUCGGCUCCCUGGAAGUUGUGGGAAGAGAGAGGGCGGUGGCC